rnacentral:rRNA from 1 species
UACGUAGGGUGCGAGCGUUAAUCGGAAUUACUGGGCGUAAAGCGUGCGCAGGCGGUUGGCAAAGUCAGCUGUGAAAGCCCUGGGCUUAACCUGGGAAUUGCAGUCGAUACUACUUAGCUAGAGUAUGGGAGAGGGCAGUGGAAUUCCCGGUGUAGCGGUGAAAUGCGUAGAUAUCGGGAGGAACAUCAGUGGCGAAGGCGGCUGCCUGGCCCAAUACUGACACUCAGGUGCGACAGCGUGGGGAGCAAACAGG